rnacentral:lncRNA from 11 species
CUAAUAUCUUUAUUAAGGAAAUAUAUAAAGUUAAUAAAACAAGUAUAGGAAAUAGUCCAGAAGUAGACCUUUCAGGAAAGGUCAAAAUUAGUCCAAAAAAGCAAUGUCCAAUAUGAAAUAUUAAGGUCCAAAGUUGUAAUCCAAUAACCGAAACACUCACUUGCCAAGCAAGUGAGGGGAGAUGACAAGGUCCUUUAGUCCAUGAACUUGAGCAAGGCUAGGAAAUAACUUGAUUCUUGGCACACAAAGCUUGAUUCAAGGCAACAAGGAAACGAGGAGCAAGAACAAGAUCCGUGGUAAUUACUUGGCGAGGUCCGGGAAACAAGGCAAGAUCCGGGGAGAAAACAAGGCUGAGAACGAAGGCUUGGAACAGGAACAAAGGCUUGAAAGCAGGAGUAGCUGUCCACACACGCUGCUCCGGUAGCUGACAAAUUGACUCCGCAAGAUUCCUUCGGGAGCAAGGAACCUAAAUAGGCCUCGUUUUCCCACCAGAGAACACUUCUCUGGGGAAUCAGAAACGAAAGUCAAUCUCUGUGUCCAGAUGUAUGACUCCCUAAAAUUUCUCAUGGCAGCAGGCUUAAUCAUCUGAAUGCUUUGCUGCAAUUCUCAAACUCCUGCGAUUAGCUUGUUGCACUCCUUUUUGCUGGAGAUAAUAAUUACGGCGCGAAAAAGGGGGAGAACUCGACUCAGGGCUUGUUUGGCAGAUUUCUGGAAAGGCUCAAUUUCUGGCUGGGAUAGUUCCUUUUCUGGCUGAAAUGGUGGAAAACCCAAGUUUUCCUCUUCAUCAUUCACAACAGCACUAGGAACGGGACUACAUGGCCCAUGAGUCAUCACAAC